rnacentral:misc_RNA from 1 species
GAUGAAGAACGUAGCGAAAUGCGAUAAGUAAUGUGAAUUGCAGAAUUCAGUGAAUCAUCGAAUCUUUGAACGCACAUUGCGCCCGCCAGUAUUCUGGCGGGCAUGCCUGUUCGAGCGUCAUUUCAACCAUCAAGCCCCCGGCUUGUGUUGGGGACCUGCGGCUGCCGCAGGCCCUGAAAAGCAGUGGCGGGCUCGCUGUCACACCGAGCGUAGUAGCAUACAUCUCGCUCAGGGCGUGCUGCGGGUUCCGGCCGUUAAAAAGCCUUAUUUACCCAAGGUUGACCUCGGAUCAGGUAGGAAGACCCGCUGAACUUAAGCAUAUCAAUAAGCGGAGGA